rnacentral:lncRNA from 1 species
GUUUUUGUUAUAAAAGUCCUACUUCACUACUCAUUUCAAAAUUGUCUACACAUGAAAUUUAAAAUGUAGUUGAGAAAGAAUAUUUACAGUUGGAAAUUACAAUCACAAUCUCCUACAUCAUCUGAUCAACUGCACAUAUUAUUCUCAAGGCAAAGGCAACACUACUUUCUAGCCAAAUUUAUGAGGGGAAAAGACAUGGACAAAUAUAUUUGAAAAGCCAAUUAAUUGUAACAUACUCUAGUAACGAAAGAAAAAGAGUUGAGUUUGUUUGAAAUUGAAAGAGUAAGCCUCACCUGACAUCAUUUUGUCCUAAGUAUUGAAAUCUUUGAUAAACACAGCAUAGCCAGCUGGUCAGAAGAGGUGAUUCUCCCACUGUAUUUAGCAGUGGUGCAACCUCAUCUUGAAAAUUCCAAGCUCCAUGAUAGAAAUGGUCAUGGUCCUUGAAAGCAUCCAGAAGAGGGCAAUGCAGCUGGAAGGCAUGUCCUGUGAGGAGAGGCUGAGGGCACUCAGACUGCCCAGUCUGGGGCAGAGGAGGACAAGAGACGACCUCACUGCUCUCUGCAGCUCCUGAGGAGGGGAAGCAGAGGGAGGUGCCGGGCCCUGCUCUUGGGAACUGAUGGCAGAACGGGAACAGCACAGAGCUGCCAGGGGAGGGUCUGGCUGGGCAGAAGAAAGCAUUUCUGAGCUGUGAGGGUGGUCAGACAAUGGGACAUGAUUCCUACCAAAGUGGUUGAUGCCCCAUGACUGUCAGUGCUUAAGGCAGAUUUGGACAAGGCCCUCAGUAAUGUGCUUUAACUUUUGGCUAGCUCUGAAAUGCUCAGGCAGUUAGAAAUGACGAUCUCUGAAGGUCCCUUUCAAGUGAACUAUCCUAUCCUAUCCUAUCCUAUCCUAUCCUAUCCUAUCCUAUCCUAUCCUAUCCUAUCCUAUCCUAUCCUAUCCUAUCAUAAACCUGAUGAAAUUGUUACUCUGAUAUUAAUAAGGGGGGACCUACACAAACUGCUUGAGAAAUCUCUGUUAUGCAUAUCAAGAUACUUCAUGGCCCAAGGUCAACAAAAGCAGUCCCAACAGAAGAGUCCUAGUAGAGGUGAUCUUCAUUUGGAGCAUGCAAAAGAGAAACAACAUUGAGAAGAGGUGCAAAUGGCUUCAAGCUUCCCUCUACCAAACUGCAAUAACCACUAAGUUAUUACAUCUAUAAGAACAUGGACAGUCCAAGAACAACUAAGAAAUUCAGAGCUCUAAAUUUAUGGCCUGCAAAUGAUGAUUAUGAUCUGCAAAUCCCUUGGCAGACUGAACAAGCUUUGGAAUGACAUGAUCCAGAACAGAGAGUAUACAGAAAUUUGAUGUAACAUAAUCCUUAUGCAAACACUGUGGGUAGUGCUGUCAAUAGUCAAACAAACAGUAAAUUUGAAGGUUGGAGAUAGGACUGUAAUGCCUUGCCAUUCCCAGUAGAUCAGUGCUCAAUAAUAUUGACAGUGACCUGGGAUUCUAUGUGAAUAAAGAAAAAAACUGUUUUUGCCCA